rnacentral:rRNA from 1 species
UACGGGGGGUGCGAGCGUUGUCCGGAAUCACUGGGCGUAAAGGGCGCGUAGGUGGUUUGAUAAGGGUGUGGUGAAAGCCCGGGGCUCAACCCCGGGUCUGCCGUGCCGACUGUCAAACUCGAGGGCUGUAGAGGCAGACGGAAUUCCGGGUGUAGCGGUGGAAUGCGUAGAGAUCCGGAGGAAGACCGGUGGCGAAGGCGGUUGCCUGGGGCGUUGCUGACGCUGAUGCGCGAAAGCGUGGGGAGCGAUCCGG